GAAUUCCAUUUGGUGGGGAGUUUCAGUUGUUAGGCUGGCUUCACUUGUUGAAUUUCCCUUUUUUUUUUUUCCCUGGUCAGGCUAUUGUUAGAUGUCAGUUGUAAUGUUAGUGCUUGACAUCACUGCUAUUCACUUUCAAACCAAUCAAGCGCUUCUAUGAAAAAAUUCUAGGUGCAAGUGUUAGACGUUGUCCAUUUACAGCUGUAAGUACAUGUUUUCUGUGUACACAAUUUGACUGCCUUUGUUGAUGCUGGUGUAACUCGAGUGGACAGAUGCCACAAAUAAUGGAUUGUUCAAUGGGCCAUGAUUGGAUGGUUGGUCGUAUACUAAUGAGGUUGGAAAUUGGACUCUGGUUAGCAUGUGUUAAUUUGGUUAAAUUUUCAGUAAUUCAACUUGAACUGACCAUACACAUAUUGUAUUUGCUGUGCACAUGCAUAUAAAGCAUCCUAUGCAAAGUUAGUUAUGGAUGCAGAUUUGAGAUUAUCUACAGAUCCCAAAUGCAAUAAACUGUGUAGUUCUCUUUGUUUGAAUUCUAAUCAAAGUGGAAUGAGAUUUGCAAUGUUCUGCCAUAAUGUAAGAACUGAUGUCUUUCAUGGGUGCUCAUGCUAUGACAGUGCAUAAGCUUUGAUAAUUAUACAUUUUAUUGUGUUUGUGGAAGAAUUGGAGAUGCCCAUCAGGCGUUUGAUGAAACCGGGGAAGAGGAUGAGCAGGGAGUUGAAGAAGAUGGAGAGUAUGAAGAAGAUGAUGGUGAGGGUGAGGAUGAGGUGUGAUCUUGGACCCAUGGGAUUUGGGGUGUUAUUGAUGUUUAUCUUGUAUAGCUUUCAAGUAAUGAAGUCUCUUUUCGGCGAGAAAGGCUUCAUGUCAACAAACUUAAUAUUAUAUUAGUUCAGGUAAAAGCCAAAAUGGUUGUGUUAUCUAUAAUUUCCAAUUGUAAUUUUGGAAUGACAACAAUCUAUAAUUUGUAGCUGAAUUGGGCUUUCUUUGGAAUUCUGAUUUCAUUUGGAAUUUUAAUUUCAUUGUUGUAUUUUUCAUUCAGAUGAGUUUUUAGGUCCCACAUGUAGAGUAUUAUACAUAUCCAUGGAUGUGCUAUAUUUUUCAUUGUAGAAUUUCAUUUGCAUUGUUUAGCUUGUCCUGUAUAGUGAUUUUUGGAAAUUUUAGCCUGUAAUAUAUGUUUUAUGAUCUGUUA